AGUGAUAAGAAUUUAGAGGAAUUCAGCAUUGUUGUUUGUUGGUUUACGUGUCUUUCUGGCCGUACGUUGUUUGAGUGAGGUAGGUGUACGUGUCUUCCGGUAAGUAUUGCAACCGAACCGGGUGCAAUCAUCUGUCCCUCCUAGAAUUUUCUUGUGUUCGGUGGAUCAAAUUUUGCAAUCAAACGAUUCUCUCUCAACCGAAGGCAAAUGCAUAUAUGUAUAUACUCGUUGUUCUAUUUCACUUCCCAUCUUGGUUUAGCUUCGUUGUUUCUAGGUACGCAGAUUACAGCCCAAACUCCACAACCUGGUAUGUAAUUUAGUGAUUUUCUACUUCUUUUUCUGCUAGCUAUGGAUAUAUUGAUAUCUGAUUUGAAUGCCUCUGUUCUCUUGGGUGCUUGUUAGUGCUUACGCAAAUUAGGCACACCACCUGUUUGACAAUAUGCCUGAACAUGCAAACCAAAAAAUUAGAGGCUUCCUUAAUUGAAAACUUGCACUGAAAAUGUGUGAAUGCUCAUAAAAGUUAGAGAACUCAUACUCAGAAACUAAACCAAUAAUGAACAAUUCACCGCAAACCAAUUACAACAUGCUGACCACUGUGUUUUUACCCCUAACCUAUACGUAUUUACAUGUGAUUGUUUAUGAAUCCAAUGUCCUGUUUACCACUAACAUAAUCUUGCUUGUGAUUGUUGCUACUGGUAUUCUUCUUGGAUCCUGUAAAAUGAUACCUGUAAAUAAAAUAAACAUAACUUACAUCCCCAGAACAUAUUGUAUAAGUACUAAUUACCAAUACAUUCAAACAAUAAUGAGUAAAUAAAAAUUUGGGCAUGCGUAGAUGUAAUGAAAAAUAUGUUGACAACGGUGUUCGUUGGUACACACACACACACACGUAUAUAUAAGAAAGAAUGAUAGAUAGAUGGUUGGUGGCAGUUAGUUUGUUUUUUGUUUUUCAUCACUUAAAUUACAUCAUAAAAGCUACUGAAUAAAUGAACCAUCUGAUAAAAUAUUAAGAAAACUAGAAAUUAGAAGUCCGUCGAUCCAAACCCUCAAGUCAUCUACUGCACUAUUUCCUUCAUAUCGGUGAUAAAAUAUUAGGAAAAGACUCAAUAGAAUAUCAAACAAGCCUAUUUCUCCUUAAACCCAGUGCAACCAUCAUUUUCACAUAUCAAACCCUAUCCCUGCCAUCAUUUUCAAGUUUAUUGGAUUGGAAAGGUUGGUUCAUAGAACCACAUUAGUCAAAACUUGAUACAUAUAUAUAUAUAUAUAUAUAAAAGACUGACACUACAAACGAAAAACCUUUGAAGCAAAAAACCUCUAUUUGAUGUUAACCACCUCAAUGCUCAAACUGAGAUUUAAGCUAAAUUUCAAUCAAAGUUUGAUGAAGUAGUAACUUUGAGAGUAAACAUUUCGGUCUCCUUUGGUUUUAGUAAAAAAUUGAAUAAAACACAAUUUGAUAGAAGUUUAGCUGAAGGAGUAAAGGAUUGAUUUUCAUGCAAAUUUGAAUUUGAUAGAAGUUUGAGUUAAGGAUUGGAGAUGUGUAACAGACUAUUUUAAUAUUCAUAUAUAAAUUACAUAAUUAAAAAAUAUAUAUAAAAUGUAUUUGCCUAUUUGAUAAAUGAGAGAACACAUUAUUGUGAGACUUUUAGUGUUUUUUGAGCAAAAUGGAUGGGAAAAAGUUCCCACAUGAAGAGAGACUUCUCAUUAAAGCAUAUUGUCUUCUUUUCAUUUUUAAAUUUUACUCUGAAUUAGAGACCCUUUUAAAUUUGAAACUAAGAUUUCUUCUCCUCCCUAAAUCCACUUCCUCAUCUCUUGCCCAAACCCAAGGAAAGGAUAUAUAAGCAAUACCUUUGGACUUGUAAAGACCUAUCACCUCAACUCCACUGUUGUUGCAAUGGAGAUUUAAAGUAUGAAUAGUAAUAAUUUAACAUAUCAAAGUUUCAUGGACUAGAUUAGCAAGCAUUUCUAAUUCAUUGUUAAAAAGAAUGAUUAAUGUGAGAAUAUGUUUGUUUUUUUUUGUCCGCAUGAUGUAAUGAGAUGGUUGGUGGCUGACCACUAGCCAAGGACAUGCCUGUUACUAUAUUGUAGAUGAAAAAAAACUCUCCUACAUCUUUCAUGGCCUUGGAGUAUGAGGUCUGGUAAUAGUAAGCCAAUAGAAAUGUUAUUUAGUAUAUAAGGCCUGUGUUGAAGUUUGCAUUUAAUUGUUCAAGUUGUUCUACGCUUCAAGUUUAAAAUGAUGGUGCUCAAAAGGGAUAAGUUACGGCAAAACAUUUCCUUUUGUGUUUUUAGCAUCAUAGUCAAAAAGAACAAUUGGCAUAUGGAAAUAAUAAAAAUAAUGACAGGGAAAAAAUCAAUUACAAUGAAAGAGAAAAUGCUCUCCCACAAUUUCAGCUUCUAUUUUUUCUUUUCCCUAAUUGGCUGUUUUACAUGGUGAUGAAGCAUGCCAUUCUGAUUCACUGUCUAUUUUUUGUUCCUCAAACAAUCUAUGAUAUAUUUAUUUUUAUGUAUAAAUAGUAGAGCAAUAGCUAACUGGUAGCCUGCCUUGAUAUUUGUGAUUUGAACUAUUUAUUGAAAUCAUACCCAUAUGGUGCUUUUAUUCUAUACUUUAGUGUUUUGCUUAGCAGCGGAGAUAUAUUGAAAUGUCUCAGAAUGCUAGAUGUUGCUUGUUUUGUUGUUUGUAAUUAACUACAGAUGCUCAACAACAUAGGACCAAUGUAAUUAGCCAAGCCUCCAUUUGCUUUGCUGUAAAAUAUGCCCCUCAUUUUCUUAUGUUUGUUAAUAAGUUAGGAAAACAAUUUUUUGUAACAUGUUUGCAAAUGCCUAAAAUUAACUUUUCGAUUCCAAAUCAAUAAGUUAUUUUCCGACUUCCAAAUCAAAAAUUUUGGUUACAGCAGAAACUAUGUGAGACAAAUAGUCAGAUAGUGUCAUGGGCCUAAGGAAAAAUGGUUAGAGUUCUCAAUGAACUACGCAUUGUGUCCACACUGUGUAGUUCAACCACAUUAUAACCCAAGAUAUGUGAAUUUAAAAGUUUUUUUUUUAAAGUAUGAAUGGUUUAUUAAUAAUAUGCAUUAAUUAUCUUGUGAAUUAUGUGGUUGCCCAUGUUCUCGAACAAGCUGUUCUGUCAGCUCAGUUCCCUCUCUUGAGGAUCAUUCUACACUUCACUUUUUCACUGCAUUGGGUUCCUUAGAAAACUUGAGAAAACAAAAGAAAAGAAAUUUCGGGCCCUGUGCUCUAUGUUGAUUUUGUUAAAAAAAUAUAAAAUGCUUGAGUCAAUUGGUUACACUAAAUUGUUAUGUGAGGCAUAAUGUGUUAGAGAUUUAUGUUUUGCCCUUUUAUUUUCCACACUUUCAUGACGGAGCAUUCAUGAAUUUAUCAUUGUUUUUGGCCUGCAAUCAUAGUUUCUGUUUCUUUGGUUCUUUAGAGAAACUUAGAUCAAUUGGAAGCAUUAUCGAAAAAGCUAAAGGCGGAAACCCUAAGAAGUUGAGCUCUUACUUAACCUAUUGUUACCACUAUGUACUUAUCUAUCUCUCUGUUAUAUACACACAUCAAUUUUAUGCAUUAUUAAAAUACAUACAGAUGUGUACACUUAUUAUGCAUAUGUGGACAUUUAAACAUACACAAACACUGACACUCAAGUUCGUGCACAAGUUUCUCAAGAUGACUUUGAAGCAAUGAUAAUUUACUAGUUUGGAUGAUGAGAAAAUACAGGAAAGGAUAUGAGAAGUUGGAACUUGCAAGUUUGUAACAAAUUGGGUUUGCAAUGAUUGUUUUGAGAUUCCAUGGUUUAUUUAAUAACAGCAGAGGAUAUCUCAUCCUUUUUUCCAAUUUGGGUUUGCAAUGACCUCUUUUCUGGUUUUCCUCAGGAAUCAACUAUUUGAGAAUGUCUGACUAAUAAUUGUCAAUAGUUUGAUAUUCUUCCAUACUUCUGAAGUUUUUAUUUUUCCCCUCUAAUUUAUAUGCAAGCUAUUAGUGCAUGAAGGAAUAAAUGCAAAGCAGCUUGCUCAAGAUCUUAAAUCUUUUGAAUUAAAGAUGACUUUUGAAGAUGUUUUCCCUGCUGAGGCAACAAUCGUGGAAGAGUAUUUGCAAUAGAUUUUGAUUGACCGUAUAUGCUGUUGUGUGAUUCGGGGGGAGGGAAGAGGAAUAUUGAAGAUUGAUUGGUGCUGAUUGUGUGUUGCUGUGUUACAUUGGGCGGUCAUUGGUGUGACAUUGUAAAUUGUUGAACGAAGCAUCUUGCAGAUCUAUGCUAUGGCGGAAAGCGAGUGCAAUAGGGUACAUAGCCUGUGGACACGUUAAUGUGAAAGGAGACGGGCUACGAAAGAAACUAGUUCAAAGGCAAACACCUUGGGAGUGAAAAUGCAGUGACGAAUUCUAUUCAAACAGUCUAAAGUUGGUCACAAUGCCGUGGGACGCAAUGUGACUAAGUCUACAAAAGAUCCCCCGCGUCAGACACGUCAGGCACACACAAGGCUGAACUACCGUUCUAAUGUUGCAGGGAUAGUGAAGCUUGUUAGUUUGGAAAAUUUGAGGAAGGCACACUUGAAACUGCUGAGGAAAACACCGUUUUGGGUUAUGAUCGAGGCAAUACACAUUAACAAUUUGAACCAUAAUGAAUUUAGGAAGUGUGAUGAUUUAAUCUCCAAGAUAAUACGAGCGUAUGAUCAGCGGGAUAAUGCUUUUCACAUUUGAGGGGCCAGUGUGAAACUUGGUAGUAGUGACAUCAGGUUAAUUUUCAGUUUGCAAUGCUUAAAGAGGCGUUUAGAUUUGUCACCGGGGCAAUGUAUCAGACUUCAUUCAACGUAGAUGCCGUGACGCUUCACGCAUAACAUCGAAGCUUGUGAAGACGUUAUUCCUGGAGGUUGUGAAUGGGCGGUCCAAACAAGAUGAGGAAGACGCAACGAAGUUGUUGGCAUUGUAUAUGUGUGGCAAAUUAUUUUUCGCUAACUCUGGGAAGACAAUAAGUUAGGCCUUUGUUCGGUAUAUGAAUGACCUGAACACUAUCAGAAUGUACAAUUGGACUGGAGCAAUACUAACAACAUUGAUGGGUUUAAUUCAAGAGUUCCAUCGCACACUCGGAAAGGCGACUGGUUGUGUGCUCGUGCUAAUGUAUUGGAUAUGUGAACAUUCAACAGUACUUAAGCCUCAAACCGACAACAUGUUCCCCAGAUUUUUGAAAUGGGACAUUGGGGCAUUGAUUAAUAAAGUUCAAUGGGUCGAUCUGUCUGGUAUCAUCAAGUUUUAGGUGAUAGUCGACCGACUAAGGCCGUUUGAUUAUGAACGUGAAGUUAUGGGAACAGACAUUGAGGUGAUGAAAGGUGUUGUAGCAGAUGUUGUGGAUGGUGAUGAUGGUGAUGAGCACUUCAUGGAUAAGGUGAAGGUUGCCGUCACAUCCAAUGAUGCGCCGAUGCAUAUAGGCAAUGUUGAAACUAGUAGUGGCAACGGAUGUGAACAACGCAGUUCAGGAAAUGUGCAACAUCCGAACAUGGUUGAGUGGGGGAUUGAGACAGACAGAUUACAUGGUUAGACGGCUGAACAAGGCCAUAACGGGCCAAAUGAUAUGAAACUUGAAGAAGCAGUACGUGUAAUCGCAGAUCUUGAGCUGCAGAAUCAAAAAAAUGAGGAAAUAGUCGUGUUGCUUAAAGAAGAUGUUGCCGAGUUGAAGAGAAAGUUGGAGUUGCAAGCUGUGAACAUAGUUGGGGGGUUUGAGAGUGUAUUGCAGAUGAAAAAUGAGGAGUUAGAUAAGUUGAAGAAUGAGAAUAUGGAAUUGCAAAACAAAGUUGUUAGACUUAUUUAUUUUGAUGAUUUAUUUAAUUAUGUUUUAAUAGAAUCAAAAUUUAUUUUGAUGAUUUAUUU